rnacentral:tRNA from 1 species
GGAGCGGUAUCGAAGUGGUCAUAACGGGGACGCCUCGAAAGCGUUUUGGGUCACAAGCCCACGUGGGUUCGAAUCCCACCCGCUCCGCCA